rfam:Pseudomonas sp. MF4836 contig003, whole genome shotgun sequence.
CUUUAUGGCAGUUGUGCGCGGGACACCUUCGGGUGUGCCGGGUUACUCAGUCCCGGUCUUCCACACCCACGCACAGCUGCCACCCCU